GCAAACUGGUCGUAAUGGUUUGGGCCUUAUAGGUUCAGUUGAUCAUUUUUAAAGCUACUGGCCUGUUAAGUCCCAAGUUAUUACAUUGCCGGAAGCU